AUGUUCUAGGGUGUGUGGAGACGGCGCCUGUGCUCCCCCCAGAGGACCCCGACCCUGUGGGAGUCGUGCUGUGUGGCCAUCAGCCUGACACCCUCCAGCCGUCCACCUCAGUUUGCCUCUUCCGUCUCCCCGUGUUGCAAGGCGGAGGGCGGCUGAAAUCGCACUGACAUCCGUAUUUGCUGUGCCUUCUGAUGGAGGAGUCCCCGCUAAAAGGAGACCGGCUCUGCGGCGGGAUGGCUCUGGCUGGCGGCCUCUCAUUCCCCCUGGAUGCUCCCAGUGUCGGGGGUGGGGCCUCGGCCUCACAUCCCCGGAUCCUCAGUGAGCACAGCAUUCCUCGUGGGAGCUCUGCUUGGCGCUCUCUAUCGAGGCCUCAGAGCACGGCACACCCCUAGGUCGUCUGGGGAAGGCAAGGCCACAGAGGAGGCCCGAGUGUCCUGCCGAUGGAUGACUCCAACAUCCCCGGGGAGGUGCCUGGGGCACCACUUCCCACCCUCCAGGCCGGUGCAGGAAUCAUCUACAGGCCCAGUGAAGCGGUGCCCCUGAAGUCAGGAGCGAGAGUUGCUUUCUCUGAGCUGCCACGGGCCAUUCUCCAUUUGUCAUCACACACCGGGACAGCCUCCAGAACUAGGAGACGGGAAACUUGUGUUGCGGCCUCUGGAUUGUGGUGCUUUGUAAAGUCCGCCCCCCGAACCGAGACUCCGUGCUGUGCUGGC